rnacentral:tRNA from 9 species
GCGGGCAUAGCUCAAUGGUAGAGCUCCAGCCUUCCAAGCUGGCGGUGCGGGUUCGAUUCCCGCUGCCCGCUCCA